AGCGAACGCUGGCGGCAGGCCUAACACAUGCAAGUCGGACGGUAGCACAGAGGAGCUUGCUCCUCGGGUGACGAGUGGCGGACGGGUGAGUAAUGUCUGGGAAACUGCCCGAUGGAGGGGGAUAACUACUGGAAACGGUAGCUAAUACCGCAUAACGUCGCAAGACCAAAGUGGGGGACCUCCGGGCCUCACACCAUCCGAUGUGCCCAGAUGGGAUUAGCUUGUAGGCGGGGUAACGGCCCACCUAGGCGACGAUCCCUAGCUGGUCUGAGAGGAUGACCAGCCACACUGGGACUGAGACACGGUCCAGACUCCUGCGGGAGGCAGCAGUGGGGAAUAUUGCACAAUGGGCGCAAGCCUGAUGCAGCCAUGCCGCGUGUAUGAAGAAGGCCUUCGGGUUGUAAAGUACUUUCAGCGGGGAGGAAGGUGCUGAGGUUAAUAACCUCAGCAAUUGACGUUACCCGCAGAAGAAGCACCGGCUAACUCCGUGCCAGCAGCCGCCGUAA
rnacentral:rRNA from 1 species